rnacentral:lncRNA from 1 species
AUGCUUCGCCUCCGCCAAAGCCACUUGGCCGCCGGUCUCCCGUAGCUGUACUUCCGGCUUUUCUCUUCCCACAAGAUGGCGGCCGGGUGGGGAUUGGCAGUAUUGGUUUCCUCCGCCUCUGCUCAGACUCAGGAAGGCCUGUCAUCAUUUCGGUUAACCUCAGCUUCCAGUAAUCCUGUCAAUUCCUCUCCUGGUUAGCCUCGUCAUUGCAUAGUAUAGAGUUAUAAAUGCAAGGAUGUGAGUUCAAACCCUGCCUUCUACCUUUCCCAAGCUAGCAUGAUCUUGACCUUCCUAAAUCAAAAGAGAUUAAAAUAUAAGCUUUAGUUGUGUGCUUGAUUUAGAAUACAUUGCCAGCAGCGACUGCUUCUUUUUCUGUUGUGGAGGAACUCUGGCUGUAUGCUCUUAGUUUACAGACAGGAAUCUCCUAGUAUUCUCGGAAGUCUACUGGGGCUUCUCGAAGUCAACGUGUGAAAAUGAAGACAUUUUCUGAAACAAAAAAUAUUUCUAAUUUAAAGCCUGAUCUCAGUGAUUUUGUAAGUAUUUCUUAAAAAGAAAUCUUGCUUUGCAAAUUUUACUGUUUUGUCUGGCCACUACUAUGUCCUAUUAAUCUGUGCAGUUUUAGUACAAAGUACAGUACUAUUUGCACCUUUAAAUUAAGUUACUAUAUGGUUUACUAAGAAAAUAAAAGCCGGGAAGGGAGAUGGGAUGGGGGAAGGGGGUUCCGAGGGAAAAUGAGGAAAGGGGAUAAAAUUUGAAAUGUAAAUAAAGAAAAUAUGUAAUAAAAAAUGGGAAAAAAAAAGAAAAGAAAAGCCAAGAGCUGGCUUAAGGAUAUGAAGCCUAAGGAAAGGUGAGCAGAAUUGAAACUAUUUUUUAAAAUGUAGCUUACUCCCUUUUGGUUCAUUUUUUGUCUUUCUCACUUUUAACUAUUAACCUAACUGC